AUUGAACGCUGGCGGCAGGCCUAACACAUGCAAGUCGAACGGUAACAGGAAGAAGCUUGCUUCUUUGCUGACGAGUGGCGGACGGGUGAGUAAUGUCUGGGAAACUGCCUGAUGGAGGGGGAUAACUACUGGAAACGGUAGCUAAUACCGCAUAACGUCGCAAGACCAAAAAGGGGGACCUUCGGGCCUCUUGCCAUCGGAUGUGCCCAGAUGGGAUUAGCUAGUAGGUGGGGUAACGGCUCACCUAGGCGACGAUCCCUAGCUGGUCUGAGAGGAUGACCAGCCACACUUGAACUGAGACACGGUCCAGACUCCUACGGGAGGCAGCAGUGGGGAAUAUUGCACAAUGGGCGCAAGCCUGAUGCAGCCAUGCCGCGUGUAUGAAGAAGGCCUUCGGGUUGUAAAGUACUUUCAGCGGGGAGGAAGGGAGUAAAGUUAAUACCUUUGCUCAUUGACGUUACCCGCAGAAGAAGCACCGGCUAACUCCGUG
rnacentral:rRNA from 1 species